rnacentral:lncRNA from 1 species
AAGCUUUGGAAGGAAUAUCUCACUCUGGUGGCCCCUGGCAUGACCAGAAACAAGUCACACACUAUAGUGACAGCUGGCACUAAGUGGUGCCCGUUAUUUUCACGGAGAUCCAGUUUCAUGAACCCCACUUUCUAGAUGGGGAAACCGAGUCUGGAGAUAUUCUUCUCAUACUGUGUGGCACUCAGGGCAAGUCCGCAACAGCCCUACAGACCUAGGAUUCCAGCCAAGGAAGACUAAAGAACGGAAGGUCUUUGAACCACAUUCAGAAUGCCAUUGACAUUGUUUUAUCUAGAACAUCAAGAUUUGUAUUAAGAAAUCCUUAGGUAACAUUUAAUUACUGAGAGGUUAUAAGAUGUGGUGAAAUGAAAAGUGACAUCAGGACUUUGUCUCCACUAUCCAGGAGUAGAAUUUAUGUAGCAUCAGCAUCCUGGCCCUACAAAGGAAAACCAAGGAGACACAGGGAGGGAAAGGAGCCUCGGCUCUGGAGUCUGACUACCAGCUGAGACAUGGAAGUUCCAGCACAAUUAAGAGAAUUCACUGCGAAGUUUGCCUACAUAGAGACAUCAUUUCUUUUUGUGGAGACAUUUCAAACUUAUGAACAGGAUAAAGGAACCAGUGGGGGAGUUUAAGGCCUGGGACCUUGAAAAUGAGCAAUUCUGUUUCUUGUCUUUGACAGCUAGUCCUGUCUUGGCUGGAAGCCAUAAAUGUCCUUGGUUCUGUUGGCAGCUAUGUUCUGGCUGGAGGCCUGAUAGACCAAAAUAUUUAGAGGCACUGGUUUGUGUUCUUGUUUUUAAUCUUUCGUCUCUUUUACAUAGAAACUUUAAUGAACACAGCUGCCUGAAAGCGCUACACGAUCCGAUGUGUCUGAAACUCUAAUCCAGAUAGCAAGCUGAAGGCUUAUGGAAGAAAUCCACCCACACUUGAAAACAC